GAGGUCAGAUAUUUGUUUUGCUGCAGUCAAUACCGUAUCUAUAGAUCUGAUUUAACUUGGCCUGUUGUUAGCAUAAAACUUCGUUGUGUAUCAGAACAUUCUGCCGAAUUUGCAGGUAUUUGGGGUUUAUUCCGACAGUCGCAACAGUAUGGCUGAGAUUCAUCGCCUCGGUGUCAUAUAAUAAUUCUCGCGGUAUUCUGAGACUUUUCCGAUGGUGAUGCGACGGGUUCAUUCGAUGGCGACAAAGAGAUAAAUCAGCUGAAAAAUAUUUCACUACGAGAAGCGUCAAAACAUUUAUCUUUUUCGAAAGGGCCAAUGCAUGAAGUAAUAAUUCACUAUCAUUCCGAAAAGGAUAAUUUUAAAUUACCCUUUUCGAUUAUUUAGGAACGGUUUUGGUUAAGAUUUAUGAUACAAAAAAAUAGGCUAAAACUUUAGCAUUAAUAAUAUUAUUAGAUUAUAUGAUUCAAAUCUAUGCAGUACAUGCAAUUUGAUCAGUAAACAUUUUAAAUACUAAACAUUUCUGCAUAGGCCCUUUAUUCUGAUGCUAUCCGCUUGUUUAUGUUUUCAAUAUUAAGAUUGGCUAUAGCUGUGCUAGUGGUGUUCAUAAAUUCAAAAUUACUCGAUAGAAUCUGCUUCGAAAAUGAGCGAAUUAUGGUUCAGUUCAGAUAGCGAGGAAGACUGUCCGGAAUACACAUCAGUUCUUCGCCGGCAUGUGAGAGAUCGUUCCAAUCCAUUAAGCGUUCCGAAUAAUCUGUUUAUCAAAUACUUUAGAGUUCGAAAGAGCCUCUUCAUCGAAUUAUUGAAAUUGGUGGAAACCAAAAUACGACCAUGAGUGGGAUCUGCAUCGCUUUUCCCAGUUGUGAAACUCGCCGCAGCGCUCCGUUUUUUUGCUGAAGGAACCUAUCAAAAAGGUGUUGGAAAUGACAUGUUCGUUGGAAUGGCCCAGCCCACAUUGCCCAAGGCAUUGAGUGAAGUUCUUUCAAUAUUGGAACACAUUGUCCUGUUGCGAUCAAAUUUCCAGUCGAUAAUACUGAAAAAGAUGCCAUAAACCGAGGGUUCUACGAAAAAACGGGAUUCCCAGGGAUUAUUGGAUGCGUGGACGGAACUCACGUGAGGAUUAUUUCUCCAGCUAAUGAUCAACACCUAUAUUAUAAUAGGAAGGGCUUCCAUAGCUUGAACGGUGGUAUGCGAUCACAAUUUGAAGAUAAGAUUUGUUGAUGCGAACCAUCCAGGAUCAUGUCACGAUUCAUUUGUGUUCAACGGCAGUAGCCUCAUCACCUGGCUACAAACCAUAACAAUGGCGAGAAAAACACAUGGCUUCUAGAAGGUUAAAUGAAGCGCACACGAAAGCUCGAAUCACAGUAGAGCAAGGUAAAUUGAAUUUAUUGAUACAUACAAUUGUGUGAUUCAUGUGCCACCAAGAGACCAGCCAUUUUGGAGAUGUUUUAGACUUUAGCCGCAGAGCACACGUCUUACCUUCACCGCUGCCAAAUUACGAAAGAGGCCGAGAACUCGUGCUGCGUGAUUGGGUUAAAUUAUGCAGGGUUGGGACAAACCUCGAAGCGAGCGAAAUAUGAGUGGCAGGGCUGCGUCGCAUGGUCACGGUGUGUAUAAAAGGAUAGACUGCAGAGUUGCAGGCGAAAUGCGUUGGAUGUAAAGGGAGGAUUUCAUUCACCAUCCACUCAACAAUACCAUUUCUAUCGAUUCUACACGACCCAAAAAGACACUUAUUAUUCCUCUUCCAUUAUUCAUUUGUUUUUAUGCACUGUCGACACCUCAAGACAUGUCACCUAGAAAUCCUAGUUCAUGUGACAAUCGUCACGUAUAUUUGAAAGCGGGAAUAAGGUGAGAGUUCAUUCAAGUGAGUUUUCUCACGGCAUACGCCUGGUGGAAUCGUGUGACAUAAGUGACAAUUGUCAUCUCACCUCACACACCACGCAGAAUCAGGCCGAUGAUGUUUUUCCCGCGCCACAAUAUU